AAGACAUUUUUAUGUAGUUUUAUCACCACACUUCCUCUGCUUUGGCUCUGCCACGGAUACAACCAUGGUUCAGGUGCACUGUAUUGUGGCGGCCACAGUGGUUGGGAUAUCUUUAUUUGUAGAAUGUUGAUACAAUUUAUUCUUGUUCUUUGAUGCUUUCAUUUUCGAUACUUCCCUUGCACAAAAAUAUGUAUUUCCUCCAGCACUAUAUUGCAGGGCUCCUGAUAUUGAUUUAUCCGCAUUGGAGACCUUGUUCUCCACUGUCGUUGCAAUCAAUGCAAAUGAGAAAUAAGAAGCAAAGACAUGCCUCAAGCCUCCAGUUGCUUACCUCCGACAACUACGGAUCCUCACGUCGUCUACGACCCCGCUCCGACCUCUAGUACCAUGGCUGCUCCAGCCCGACGCCUACGACCACCUCCAGGUUCCCCCGUCGACCAUGUCCUCAAUCCCCAUCCUCAAGGUCGUCACGGAACUUGGCCGCUGCUAGGCCGAGUGGCUGCCGUUGUAGAUCACGGUGUUCCCAAUUAGUUUGGCCACCGCUAGUCUGAGAGCAUUGGGAGCAGAGAAGUCUGAGCAGAUUUUGCAAGCGGUUAGGGAUCUUCUUCGUGAAAAGAGUUCAUUUAAAAACCAACCAGACUGGGUUACAGUUCUUGAUGGAUCUCAGGAAGGUGCAUAUGAAUGGGUUACCAUUAAUUAUCGGUUGCGGAAUUUGGGAAAGACCUACGCAGACACUGUUGGUGUGGUUGAUCUUGGCGGUGGAUCCGUCCAAAUGGCAUAAGCUAUCGCAGAGAAGGAUGCCGCAAAGGCUCCUAAACCAGCAGAUGGUGAAGAUGCAUAUGUGAAGAAGCUCUUCCUUAAGGUAACGACAUAUUAUCUUUAUGUCCACAGGAACUGAAUCAAGUUUUUACAGAUGCGGGAGAUUCCUUGAGGAGUUGAUGCACAAGGUCUUCUACAGAGCGAAAAGAAGAGUAUACGAUGACCUACAGGCCUACAGAACUCAUUUUGGGAUUCUUCGACAAACUUGGGGAUCCCAGAGCAAGCACAGUCCCUGCUGCAGCCCAAGAACAUCCUGCAAGUGGCAACCCAGCUGAUCCGGUCCAGUCUCCGUAGUCUCAAGCUGCAAUUUCUCCAUCAGGACAAAAUUGCUAAUCCGUUGAACUUGUUCACUCAGAUCUGAUGGUAGGGUGCUGAUAUUGGAGGAACAAGCAAGCGAAUCGGGAACAAAUGGGGAAAAUUGAGAACCCUGUUGGUCAGACAAGUAAGAUGGAAACCAGUUAGAUGAACCAUGUUAGAUGAACCUUGUUGCGUAUUUUAUCUAAUGGUUUCAAACCAUGUUGUUCAUGAUGUGGAGAUGAACAUUGUUGGUCAUGGAAGUUAGAUGCCUGGAUUGUGAAUCCUUGAAUGUUUCAAAAUGUUGGUUUCAAACCUAGAUUGCUUGGAAAUAUUGGUUUUAAACAUUGCUUGACUUCUUGAGUGUGAUGUAUGCUUGAUUGUA